rnacentral:rRNA from 1 species
GAUGAACGCUGGCGGCGUGCCUAAUACAUGCAAGUCGAGCGAACAGACGAGGAGCUUGCUCCUCUGACGUUAGCGGCGGACGGGUGAGUAACACGUGGAUAACCUCCCUAUAAGACUGGGAUAACUUCGGGAAACCGGAGCUAAUACCGGAUAACAUAUUGAACCGCAUGGUUCAAUAGUGAAAGACGGUUUUGCUGUCACUUAUAGAUGGAUCCGCGCCGCAUUAGCUAGUUGGUAAGGUAACGGCUUACCAAGGCAACGAUGCGUAGCCGACCUGAGAGGGUGAUCGGCCACACUGGAACUGAGACACGGUCCAGACUCCUACGGGAGGCAGCAGUAGGGAAUCUUCCGCAAUGGGCGAAAGCCUGACGGAGCAACGCCGCGUGAGUGAUGAAGGUCUUCGGAUCGUAAAACUCUGUUAUUAGGGAAGAACAAAUGUGUAAGUAACUAUGCACGUCUUGACGGUACCUAAUCAGAAAGCCACGGCUAACUACGUG